GGGUGCGAUCAUACCUGCGUUAAUGCAUCAGAUCCCAUCAGAACUCUGCAGUUAAGCACGCUUGGGAUAGAGUAGUACUGGGAUGGGUAACCUCCGAGGAAGUCCUAGUGUUACCCCCU
rfam:Picea glauca, whole genome shotgun sequence.